rnacentral:lncRNA from 1 species
AUUAAAGCAUUUAUAUAAAAGGAUGGCUGAAAGCCUGUGUAGAUGGCUCAGGGAUAAAAGUGCUUGCUGGAAAAGCCAGAUGACCUGAGAUUUCAAUCCCUGGAACUUGAGGCAGAUGGGAGGCGGAGCCAAGAGAACUGUCUGGAAGCUUGCAGGUGUUCCCUGGUAGCUACCGCGUAACGGUCACGGCUUUAGGAGCAAUGGAUUUGGUAGUGAACAAAAGACAUACAAAUUUGGGUUGUUAUGGGCAGAAACCCAAAGAGUGAAGCCGCCGAUCAGACAAUAGAUGGAGGAGAGCUGGGAAGAAGUGUUAAGUAUAAACGGCCGAGGGAGGGACGGCUUUCGAAUGCUAGAGGAGUAUCGUUGUGGCUGGAGUGCGAGGGAAGAAAUGUCAAAAUGGUGACCUGGAUCGUGAUGCCUAGCACAGCUCACAGCAGUCCCUCAAUGCCAAGAAGGAUUCAUGUGUUCCCGCGUAUUCUUGCUGGCGAGAGGUCGUGCGGGACACCAUCUGACUAACAAAAGAAGCAUUGCAUUCCAAGUGGCAGAAGAUAAACUCAAUUGUUUCUAAACAAUUGAUUGCCUCACCUGCUUAUGAAGUCGUUCUUGGCCUGUGAGAGGUAGCAUGCCUAAGGACGUCCUGGAUUUUCCCUGCAUUGUCCUUCCACUGGAGGUGAGGUCCCCGGAUAAAUGUGGGGAGGCAAGCAUAGUGCU